AGAGAGAGACAUGCGCGCAUAUCAAUAAGCGGAGGAAAAGAAACUAACAAGGAUUCCCUUAGUAACGGCGAGUGAAGCGGGAAGAGCUCAAAUUUGAAAUCUUCAAGGUUUUACCUUGACGAAUUGUAGUUUAAAGAAGUGUUUUCUGCUGAAGUUUUGGUAAAAGUUCUUUGGAAUAGGACAUCAUAGAGGGUGAGAAUCCCGUAUUUGACCAUUAUUUUCAGCUUUGUGAUACACUUUCAAAGAGUCGGAUUGUUUGGGAAUGCAGUCCAAAAUGGGUGGUAAAUUUCAUCUAAAGCUAAAUAUUGGCGAGAGACCGAUAGCGAACAAGUACCGUGAGGGAAAGAUGAAAAGAACUUUGAAAAGAGAGUUAAACAGUACGUGAAAUUGUCAAAAGGGAAGCGUUUGACACCAGUGUUGUUUUCUCGAAAAUCAAUUAAAAAUGGCUCGAUUUUGUAUUGUUGAGACCUUAAAAGCUCACUGUACAUUUUUCGUGUCUUUUUUAAUGCACCUUUUCGUUUAACAAGUCAACAUCAGUUUCUUUUGUUGUAAAAGGGUCAUUGGAAGGUGGCUUUCUUUUCGGAGAAAGUGUUUAUAGCCUUUGGCCUCUGCAAUCGGAGAGAUUGAGGUCUGCAGCGUAGACUCUUCGGGGUUAGAUACAUUUGUGCUAAGUUAUAGCUUUUUAUAGACAACUUGUUGACUAUAAUUAGUCUUGUAGCUUACUCGCUUAUGCUAUUUUACCUACGCUUAGGAUGUUGAAGUCAUCGUAUCGCGC
rnacentral:rRNA from 1 species